UGAAAAAGUUACAUCUGUCAACACAGAAAAUUGCAUCGCAACAAACCUGUCAUUGGCAAGUACCUGAACUACAUUUCAGUCACUCAGUAAAGUGAUAACUCAAAAUAUCAUUGUCAGCAGAUCUGAAGAAAUUUGCCACUGCGUCUUUAGACCGUUUUCGUCAGACGAGAGACGCAGUUCUGACUCUGAUUACUGGUUGCUGUACGUAUCUAUCCACAUCAAGGCUGUUGAGAGAGAUUCGUGAAGAUUCAAGACAGCUCUUUGAGGAUUUGCUGUUUAAAAG